CAGCCAGGUAGUCUAAUUUGGGAGGAUACUAGCUUUGGGGGCUUGGGGUCUUGUGAGAGCCGGUUGA
rnacentral:tRNA from 1 species